GAAAAUAUGAAGCCCUGUGAAGACUGGAUUUAGAGGGAGAAACAAGACACAGUAUGACUGGUCAGACGGUUGCUGAUGUUUUAGGAGGAAUCACUGCAUUACUCACCGAGACCACUGGACGGCUUCAGGCCACUUGAGGAGUGAGUGACACCGGAGCAGUUGACUGUGUUUCGCUUGAGCAAGCGCAAGCAAGGUUGCUCAUCUCCGGAACACAGAAGAUGGUAUCGGAAAUGGGACAUACAU
rnacentral:lncRNA from 1 species